UCUCCUUCUAUAGGAGCCUAUUGUGUGUUUAACUUACUGUGUCUGUGAAGUUAUUACUAUCUAUUACAGUGAAGAAGUCCUCACCUGGGAGUGCACCUUAGAAGCACAACA